GAGAGCGUGGUGUAACUGGAGAACACAUCAGCCUACGAAACUGAAGAUUUGGGGGUUCAAAUCCCUCCGCUCUCG
rnacentral:tRNA from 2 species